UACGUAGGGUGCGAGCGUUAAUCGGAAUUACUGGGCGUAAAGCGUGCGCAGGCGGUUCGUUGUGUCUGAUGUGAAAGCCCCGGGCUUAACCUGGGAAUGGCAUUGGAAACUGGCGAGCUGGAGUGUGGCAGAGGGGGGUGGAAUUCCGCGUGUAGCAGUGAAAUGCGUAGAGAUGCGGAGGAACACCGAUGGCGAAGGCAGCCCCCUGGGCCAACACUGACGCUCAGGCACGAAAGCGCGGGGAGCAAACAGG
rnacentral:rRNA from 1 species